GUUAAUUUUUUUAAUUCUCGAGUUCGAUUUUAUUCACCUUUACAAAUAUCCAUUGGACAUCCCAAAUUCCCAUUGUCCUGUUAUAUUCGAACUGCCCGGGUAUGAUAACCGAUCCAUUGUAACCCGCCCCAAGUGAAAAACACCAACUAGGGUUUCACUAUAAACCUUCAUCCACUAACCACAAAACGCCCCCAACGCCGUCCGAGUCCUUUAGACGCUGCCUUUGGAGCUCUGAAAUCAAGCCGGCGUCGCAAUGAGGGCUAAGUGGAAGAAGAAGAGAAUGAGGAGGUUGAAGAGGAAGCGUCGAAAGAUGAGACAGAGAUCCAAGUAGAUGAACGAAAGCUUGUCUUCUGAAUCGUCUCCGUUGCUUCUAGCGGUGUAGCUUUACUGUUUUGAUUUAUGUUUUAUAUAGUCUUUGUCUCUAAUUUCCGUACUUGUUACGGUAGUAGUUGAUGAUACAUUUGGCUAUGGAGUUUUGUUAACACCCUGAUACAUUUUGAAGAUGGUUUGCUGAUUAUAUCAACAUUCCUUCAUUUGAAUUAAUUUUCAGUUUAUGCUA